UAUUCAUUUGUUGAUUUCUUUGGCAUCAAUUAUUUCAGUUUAUGCAUAUAUAUGCUUUAAUGUUCUGACUGUUAUAUUGGUUUAACAUAUUAUAAUCACAAUUUUUUAAGGUUUUGCUAUUGUGUGUCCUAAGGGAACCCAUUAAGAUCUUUGUUAGUGGAAUCCUUUGAAACUCAAUACAUUGAUAACUUUAAAACCUUAAUGAUUGUCCUUUGGGCACGCAUUGGGAAAAUCUUCAUUCUUUUUUCAAAUGUUUAUAUAAGUUGAUAGCUGAAUUCAUUAUGGUGAUGGUUUCUAGUGUUCCCAAUCUGAAAGUGAGUGUCCUGUGCUAACUCUUGCAAAAUGGUUGUCAGAUGAGUUUGAAGAGAAUAUUCGGGAUUUCAUCCCGUGUUUGGUGUUGCUAUGAGCUGCUGCUUCUAAAUUAAAUGAAAGUCGACAAGGGGAAUUUUUGGCAAAGUGUGGAAACUGGACAGAGAUAAGGGAAAGAAGAGGGUGGGAAUGCCACGAAAAAACCAACAGCUGUAAUUUUGCAGGACUCUGAUAUUCUGUUGAUACAUGGCCGUUUUAUCGGCGAUGUUGCACCAUUGUAUGGAGAAAGGUCAUAUUUUUAAUCCUUCUUGUGAGACUGAUCUCUAAUUAUGAAUAAAUGAGUGAAUGGUUCAAAACUGCUGCCUUUUAAUAAGAGAUUUUUGUCUUUAUAGGACAAGUUAAUUUAUUUAUUCAUAGAAAAAUGAAAUUUUAUUAGAUUAGAAAAGAGGUAAGCCAUCCAUUCCUUGCUUAUAUACAAAAAGUAUUGGUAAGAAAUAUGACAUAUAAGGCUUAGCUAUUAAGAAUGCUUGCCAAUCCCUUUCAUUAUAAGAUGGGUUUUGAUAAAUGAAAUACUACACAGUUAACAUUUAGAGCAUUUCCCCCUGCAUUUGAUAUUUGAGAUAAUUCUGUAUAUUAUUGUCUCAGCUGAGUUCCCUUUUGAUUGUGUUGUUAUUAUAUUUACUGCUAGGUGUUUAGAUUAUAUCAUUAUAUUUUUUAGUUUCAAGUUAUUAGCAGUUGAAGUAUCUUUUUUCAUUUUAUUCUGGAUACAUUGUUUAUUCUAUUUAGUUUUUACUGCUAAGUGUGUGCUUAUCUAGGGUAAAAAUGGAAAAUUCCUCCCCAUCCUGAACCGAAAGUGUUAGAUUUGCUACUGUUAGAUUUGCUACUGUAUUGGACAGUACAAAUUAAUUGAUCUUAUAUUAAGUGUUUCUUAUAUUCGCAAUAAGAACUUACUAUUUAACAGUUAAAAUUGAUGUGUGUGUUGUAACUAUUACCUUUGCAUUAGCCACUAUUAUUUUUAUUAAUAUGCCCUUCUGAGUGUAAGGAGUUUCUACUUAAUCCUUUGGUCCUCAUUUUUAAGAUUGAAGUGAAACCAGAUUUAAGUUGUCACUUUCUUCUUAAGACUGAACCAUCUAUGACAUUAAAUAGGGUCGUUUGUUGAACUAUUUGUGUUUUUCCAAUAUUUAUCAUAUGGGUCAUUUGCUCAUCUUUCAUAAGUUUGAUUUUUAGUGAAAAUCAUAUAAGUUAUGCUUUUCACUUGCUAUAUUGUGUAGGGAGGUUAUUGAGUGGGCUGAGGCUCUCUUGAAUUUGAAUACAUUAAAAGAAAUAAAUAAAUGAAUCUCAUUAAUAAAAAGAACCAAAUGUUUAGUUUCUGACAGAAUUAGAUAUAUCACAAGCUUAAGGCAUUGCUGUGGGAAAGUCUAUGUGGUUAUAAACUUUGACACUUUUGUGCAGGAAUUAUCAUCAAGUAGUGCAAACUAUAUCCAAGGGAUUGCCAUAGGAGUAAAAUAAAGUAAUUCAAAAAGAUUUUAGUGCCAAUUGAAGGGUAAUUCUUGAACAUCACACACUCAUAACAGAAGACUCAUGCUGAUUGCUUAUAUAAGAAAGGGGCCAAAGCAAAAGGAACUAAGCUAUGAAAUUGGACUCGAGAAAUUUAACUAUAAAAGUUGAAAAAUGAAAUAAAGCAGUUGAAAUCCUUACUUGAUGUCAUAUUGAUGUGUUCAUAUAAUAAUAAAAAACAUACAUCUCUGUUAUAUAUUAUAUAUAUAGAUAGAUGUCUAGACAACAAGAACAAUAAUCUAUAUCUAGAACUCUACCUUGAGCAUCGACUAUUUGUGCAUCAAUAACAUGGUCAAUUGAAAGACCAUAUUUUUUCAUUAGGCUUCCAUAGCCACCACCACUUAUGUGUCCUCCAGCACCAACAGUGGGACAUGUACCUGCAGGGAAAGCAUGAAUUUUGCUCUUCUGAGCAAUACUAUGGUAGAUCUCACCAAGUGUUGCACCAGCUUGGACCCAAGCUGUUUCAGUUUCUAUGUCAAUCUCAAUGGCUCUGAGGUUGAACAUGUCUAGGAGGAAGAAUGGCUCCUCUGCCACAUAAGACACCCCUUCAUAAUCAUGGCCGCCCACUGCGGAUUUUCAUCAGCUUAUUGUGCUUUUGUGCACAAACAAUGGUUGAUUGCACAUGAGAUACAUGUGAUGCGGUGAUUAUAUGGAAUGGUUUUCUUGUUGUGGUGGUGUUGAAACGAAGGUUUCUAAUGUAGGAUUGCAACACUGAAGAGAAUAAGGCAUUGUUUGGUGUGAAGAUUGAUGAAGUUAUGGGGUGAGAAAGGUCAGAAGAAUGGUUUACAAGGCAAUGAAGGAAAGUGUUGUGAGCUGAAUUUGCUGCUGAUAAUGAAGGUGAGCAUAGUAGAGAAAGUAACACAAGAACAAAAGGGUUUAAGAGUGAUAGGUAAUAAUGAAUUAUGUUAUGAGUGUAAAUUAUUCUCAUUUUUGGCAUAUCUUAGUGUAUUUCUUGCUCUCUGUUUCUAACCAAAGAUAAGUGAGCCUAUUGAUCAUAAA